GCCGAAUUCUUCGCCAACAGAGUUUGAUCCUGGCUCAGAUUGAACGCUGGCGGCAGGCCUAACACAUGCAAGUCGAGCGGAUGAUGGGAGCUUGCUCCCGGAUUCAGCGGCGGACGGGUGAGUAAUGCCUAGGAAUCUGCCUGGUAGUGGGGGACAACGUUUCGAAAGGAACGCUAAUACCGCAUACGUCCUACGGGAGAAAGCAGGGGACCUUCGGGCCUUGCGCUAUCAGAUGAGCCUAGGUCGGAUUAGCUAGUUGGUGGGGUAAAGGCCUACCAAGGCGACGAUCCGUAACUGGUCUGAGAGGAUGAUCAGUCACACUGGAACUGAGACACGGUCCAGACUCCUACGGGGAGCAGCAGUGGGGGAUAUUGGACAAUGGGCGAAAG
rnacentral:rRNA from 1 species